rfam:Hordeum vulgare subsp. vulgare, WGS project CAJW01000000 data, contig: morex_contig_1565553
AAGAUACUCUCUCCGUCCUAAAAUUCUUAUUUUAAGUUUAUUUAAAAAUGAAUGUGUAUAAAUACUAAAACGUUACUAGAUACAUUCAUAUGUAAACAAAUUUAUGACAAGAGUUUUGAAACGGAGGGAGUAAUAU